rnacentral:misc_RNA from 1 species
UAGACAAUAAUUUUGGCAACGCUGUAGUUUAUCAUUCAAAGUGACUUGCAUAUCAUUAUGAACAGAAUUACAAUACAUUAAAUGUGGGAAGAUGAGAGAUUGAACCAAAAAAAAAGAUACAUGUCAAGAGUAGGAUCAUGGAAUCAGACAACAGAACCAAGACCCUAUGGAAAAUGAUCAAUGAUGAACGGAACAGAAGUAAUCUUAACAGGCAGGAAAACCUCUGUUUGGAAAUAGAGGGCCAGAAGAUCACUGAUCCUUUUCACACUAGCAACAUCUCAAAUGAAGCCUUUACACAGCCAGCAACAACAACAGGAUUUGACCCUCCUCUAAGACGUAUGGCCAAGCUGACAGGCAUCAAAGCAUUGAGUGAAUUUCAGAUGAUAAAUACAGCACAACUCCACCAUCUCAUAGACAAACCAAAAUCGAACAACUCUGCUGGGCAUGAUGACAUCACUGGAAAAAUAUUUAAAAGUUGCAAAGAAGAACUAACAAAGCCUCUACUGGAAAUAGUAAAUUCUUCCCUAAAGCAAGCUGUAUUCCCACAGGCUCUCAAGAUCUCUAAGAUCUUUCCAAAAUUCAAAGGAGGAGAUAAAAUGGAUCACAAGAACUAUAGGCCCAUAGCAAACCUACCUAUAACCUCAAAAACUAUCGAACGAUCAGUAUAUGACCAGCUUAUCCUGCAUCUGGAGAGCAACAAACUUAUAACAGCACAACAGCAUGGAUUUAAAAAACGUCUAGGCACUACAACUGCAAUAUCUGAAUUGUGUGACAACAUAAACCAACUUUGGGAGGAGAAAGAUACUGUUAUGGGACUGUUUAUAGAUCUUCAAAAGGCCUUUGACACACUAGACUGGAACAUCCCAACUCUGAAAUUGAGAGAAUUGAAAAUAGAGGGAAGAGCAUUGGAGUGGAUAGAGGACUACCUCAUCAACAGAAAGCAGUAUGUGGAAAUAGUGCAGCACAAGAAAACUGCUCUUAUAAACUACAAAUCCUCACUCAGAGCAGUGUCCCAGGGUGUACCCCAGGGAUCCAUCCUUGGGCCACUGCUGUUCCUUGUCUACAUCAAUGACUUUCCCAAGGAAAUUGACAACAGAAACAGCUGCAUAUUGUUUGCCGAUGAUACCACUAUCUUGAUACAGGUACCAUCGCAGAAAGUUCAAGACCCACACAUAGUUGUCGAGACAGCACUGGAAGAGGCCACAGAAACAUGCAAUAGACUGAAGUUGACCAUUAAUAGGAAGAAGACAGUCCACAUCAGAUUCACUCCAAUCAAAAACAACCCGGAUGAGAGACAAACAAAUGAUGACUCAAUGAUGGCAGACUGUACAAGAUUCCUGGGGAUAACAAUUGACUGUCACUUAACAUGGAGAAAACAUAUAGAGCUGUUAUGCAAGAGGUUAGCAUCUGCUGUGUAUGUUAUAUGAAGAAUCAGAAACGUAUCAGAGAAAAGUACAUCAUUCAUUGCAUACCACUCACUCUUUGCCUCACAUUUAAGGUACGGUAUUGUUGCCUGGGGAUUGGCAUCCCAGACACACCUUGACAGAGUCCUGAGAAUACAAAAGUGGGCCUUGAGGACGAUAUUGGAGAAAAACAUGAUGGAGCACUGUAAACCAUUAUUUGUGGAGAGUAAAAUACUCACAGUAAUCUCAUUGUACCUGCUUGAAACAAUAAAUCUGGUUAAGAGGAAAGGCCUUACCACAAGACAGGAAAAACACUGCUAUGACCUUCGAAACAACAAGAAUCUUGACUUGUCACAACAUAGACUGAAGAAAUACAGCUGCUCACCAACAUAUGCAGGAUCAUACUUUUUCAAUUUACUGCCGCGUGACCUGAAGGACAUGGAUGAUGAGGCAGCAUUUGCCAGAGGGCUAAAGUCAUACCUAUUGGCCCGACCCUACAAUGCAGUAACAGAGUAUGUUGAAGAGCAUACAUUUCAACAUAUACAACAUGCUCAUGGAGGAAAUCACCUGCUGUGAAAAAUAAUGAUGACUCCCCAGCCUUCAGACUGUCAGGAGGACAAAUACAAGUAACAAAAUGAAGUGCAAGAAUAUUCCGGCUGAGUUCCAUCGUGAAAGAGUUGGCGUUGCAUCUAGUGCAGAUGCUCGAUUCACCCAUAACAAGAUCGAAGUUGAACUGGUUUGUCGCCGCUUCAACGGAAC